rnacentral:tRNA from 1 species
CGGUAAGUAGCGCAGUUUGGUUAGCGCACUCGUUUUGGGAAUGAGGGGUCGAGAGUUCAAAUCUCUCCUUACCGACCA